rnacentral:lncRNA from 1 species
CCCGCCCCGAGACCGCUACCGAUUUGGCACGGUUCGGGCGCGGCGGGCGGACAGCCGAACGGACAGCACCUCCCCUGUCCGCCCAAGGCUAAACAAUGAGAUCAUGUACAACAAGUCCCCAGGAAAUCAACUUGAAUACAUACAUGAUCAUGCAACAACAGCGAGAGCACAAACAGUGCUGAACAAUACAAGAGCAAGCGUCACAAGUAGAAGACAUACAAGUGAAACAAAAGAGAGAUACUUAACUAUUCUAUUACAACCAUUCAGCUCGAUACAUUUAAUUACAACUUGCAUUCUUUUCCAAACUAUGAAUAUAAGCUUACAUUCUUCAAAAGAUAAACAUUAGUUUACAUUUAUCUCAAAAUACCUCACAUCCUAUACAUCAUCUACUCUCAAUACAUGUAUAGGGUAACUCUAAUGCAACAUAGGAAAGUAAACUAUCAACUAGCACUAGGGCGCUAAGCCCAUAACGAGAUCCUCUGCCGAUCCGCUGUAAUAUACCAAAAAAAUUCGGAAAAUAAAUAUCGAACUUUAGUCAAAUUGACCAAAGUGCGAGGAUGGUACACUUCGGAAAGCCCGAAGGUGUUAAAAUGAUCGAAAGUGAGUUGUGGAAGGUUUUCGAGAGCUAAAGAAUCAAAUUCUGCAAAACUGCAGAUUUUCAGCUCUCGGGGACCGGUCCCUAGUGGGAGAGACCGGUCCCCGAAUGCGUAUGAAAUGAGACAGCCGAAAAUCGGCUAAGUCCUGUGAAAGUAGCUCUCGGGAACCGGUCCCUGCCUGAGAGACCGGUCCCCGAGAGACCGGUCCCACAGAGAGAGACCGGUUGCACUGCGCGCAGCAGCUCUGGCUGCGCUGGGACAACGUUCGGGAACCGGUCCCUAAAGGAGAGAUCGGUCUCUGCCUGCGCGAUCAGCCCAGUUCGGGCAGCGUAUUAAAGUGAAAGUUGAGGGGUUUAGCUGCAAUUUUGCAACCCAAUAGGCUAAGUAUGAGGGCAAAUGAGAUAUUUCUCUCAUUUCCUCACCCUCUCACACUCUCUUCUCUCCCUCUCUCUCUAGAAGACAAAGGAGAAGAAGAAGAAAGGAAGAAAAGAAGGAAAGGAAGGAGAAGAAAGUGAAGAAGAAGAUCAAAAAGCAAAAGUAGCUUCAUUACACUCUAAUUAGUCCAUUAGAACCAUUCUUAGGCUUUCCAAAACCCUAGUUUGGAUUUCACUAUGAGAGGUGGGUUGAAGCUCACCUUGAGCUCAACCAUGGUUUUGAUCUCUAAAGAAGCAAAAAGAAAGCUUCAAAUACUCUAAAAACUCCAUAAAAAUCAAUUCUAGGUUUACCCAAACCCUAGUUUGGGAGAAAUCAUGAAAAGGGGCGAAGAUUACCUCAAAGCUUGCCCUAACUUGCACUAGAGAGGAAGAAGAUGAAGCAACUUUUCUGAUACCAACUUAUCUGUCACGCCCCGGGACCGAUACCAAUUUGGCCCGACCCGAGCACGUCAAACAGACGCCGAACGGACAGAGUUUCCCCUAUCCGCCCAAGGCUCAUCACACGUACAUUUUCAUCGAAAGAGAAAAGCACUAGCGGAAACAUACACAAACGGCUCACACGAGGGUAAGCAAUAGCCAUUAGUGAAAGAAAAAGGAAAUUAAACAUUCAUAAGUAAUAUGAUUCAUUUUGGAUCAUAUACAUUGCAUCCAUCUCUUAAACUUAAAAUUCUUUACAUUUCAUUACAUAAUUUCAUCAUCUCUUUCUUACAUCACAUUUACCUCAAGAUAAGCUUUACAUUCUUUUCUUUACAUUGCUAAUCAUCAAAUACAAAAGAUGAUAAAAGGGUGUUUGCUAACAAAAUGUACCCAACUUUGGUGGCCUCUUACUAAGGCGCGAUACCUUUACCUCGGUCGCUCGCCGGCUCGCUCGGUCCCGGCUCUGUGGAAAUAGUGGGGUGAGAACUACAACAAAGUUCCCAGUGGGUUCGGCCUCAACAUCACCGACUUUCCCAACUAGGACUAACUCAGGCAUAGUAGAAAGAAUAAGCUGUAUAGUAACCAAUCUAUAACAUGAUGCUAAUAUGCCUGAACAAUAAGCAAGAAGUAUGCUCAACAUUAAAUAAAUGCAGAUUAUGCAAAUUCUUUCAUUCUUUGACUUUACUUUGUGCUUUGUUCUUUAUUCUUUGCUCUUUGUUCUUUGUUCUUUAAUCAUUAAGGCUAACCCGGGGGCUUCGCCACAUUAACUUGCUUCACAUUAAGUCCAUCAUCGCAGGAACUCACCCGCUAGGACCGUCCUUUCGGGUCUACUCCAACCCGGAUGCAUAACUCCGGAGCGCAUCGCCCGAGGGGGAGCGACCGCCCUCGAGCACGGAACUCAUAGCAAGCAUGAUCAUAUCCUUAACUCAAAGGAUCUAUAAGUUCAAUCUUGACUUUACACUAGCUCUAGUGUUCAUUAUAUCACUUUAUGUUGCAAACUCAUGCAAUCACAUUCUUUACAUUGUCCUUUACUUUUGCUAACUCUAGCAAUUAUAUUCUUUACAUUCUUUACUUUUGGCUACCUCUAGCAUUUCACGUUCUUUACUUCCCACAUUGCGUUAACUUUAAGCAUUAUCAUUUUCAGCAUUCUUUACAUUACAUUGGUUCUUUACCUCACACUAUCUCUAGUGUCUCUUUACUUUACAUUUUCAAAUGCCACUCGAUCUAUGUCAUUGUGCCACUCUGUUCUUUUGCUCACUUUGGGUACUCACAUUUUCUCUCAUGCAUACAUCUAGGGUUUUGACAUUAUUAGGUUCUCAACCAUCUCAUUAUGCAAGUUGUGCUCACAAUCAUGCAAUCAUCACAUUUCAUCAUUACUUUACCCUAAAAUGCAUGCAACAAUAUAUAGAACAUAUGCUCAAAGAAUGACACAUUAGGCAUAGAGAGAAUUUCAAUGAGUUUGAAAAGCACCACCCACCUCGUAGGCUUCCAAAGGUGCUCCGAUGAUUUUCUUGGGAUUUUUAGACUCUUUGUUCUUUACCUGCGGCAUAACGAACCCUUAUUAGGCCAUUUUGCCCAUAACUUUUCGUCGGCUUUUCGUAAUGCUAUUCCGAGCGCACCAACGCGUCGGAAAUACCCCCAAUUAGGUUUCUAGAGGGUCAAUUGCACUUAGAAACCCUCAUGAGCAAAAGCCCCAAUUUGGGUGCCCUAGCUCCAAUGUACAUCAAAACCUAGGGUUUGAUCUCUAAGAGAAGCAAAAGUAGCUUCAUUAUACUCUAAAAAGUUCAUUAGAACCAUCUUUAGACAAAUCAAAACCCUACUUAGGGUUUCACCAUGAGAGGUGAUGAAGCUCACCUCAAGCUUCACCAUUUCUAUGGUCUUGAUCUCAAGAGAAGCAAAAGAAAAGCUUCAAAUACUCAAAUGGUUCCAUAAAACCCAUUUUAAGCUUAAUCCAAACCCUAGAUUAGGUUCUACCAUGAUUAGGGUUCAAAGCUUACCUUGUAAGCCCUUCUUUUCCAAGCUAGAGAUGAGGGAGAGGGAGUCUCUUCACUUCCUCUUCUUCUUCUCCUUUUUCUUCUCCUUCUUUUCCUUCCUUUCCUUGUUUUCUUCUUCUCCUUUGUCUUCUAGAGAGAGAGAGGGAGAGAAGAGAGUGUUUGGGAGGGUGAGAAUGAGAGGAAAAGCCCCUCAACCCACUAACAUAGCUCAAUGGGUUGCAAAAAUGCAAUAAAACCCCUCAACUUUCACUUUAAUACACUGCCCGAACUGGGCAGUUCGCGCAGCCGGGGACCGGUCUCUCCUUCAGGGACCGGUUCCCGAACGUUGUCCCAGCGCAGCCAGAGCUGCUGCGCGCAGUGCAACCGGUCUCUCUCUGUGGGACCGGUCUCUCGGGGACCGGUCUCUCGGACAGGGACCGGUUCCCGAGAGCUACUCUCUCAGGACUUAGCCGAUUUUUCGGCUGUCUCAUUUCAUACGUGUUCGGGGACCGGUCUCUCCCACAAGGGACCGGUCCCCGAGAGCUCAAAAACUGCAGUUUGCAGAAUUUGAUUCUUUAGCUCUCGAAAACCUCCCGUAACUCACUUUUAAUCACUUUAACACCUUCGGACUUUCCGAAGUGUACCAUCCUCGCACUUUGGUCAAUUUGACUAAAGUUCGAUAUUUAUUUUCCGAAUUUUCGGUAUAUUACAUUCUCCACCCCUUAAAAUAAUUUCGUCCGCGAAAUUACGCAUACCUUAACUCGUCGAUUCGAAUAGAUGCGGGUACUCUCGCCGCAUAGUUUCCUCGAGCUCCCAAGUGGCUUCUCGCACAUCAUGGUUGCUCCAUUGGACUUUCACAUAGGGAAUCUUGCGACUUCGCAACUUCUUCACUUCUCUAUCGAGGAUGCACACCGGGCACUCCUCGUAGGACAUAUCCUCACGUAGCUCCACGGGCUCAUACUCCAAUACAUGUGCCGCGUUGCGAAUAUACUUUCGGAGAUUCGACACAUGAAACACGUUGUGAACUCCCGCGAGUCUCGGUGGUAGUGCGAGCUUGUAUGCUACCGCACCCACACGCUCCAAUAUCUCAAACGGUCCGACAUAACGGGGACUUAGCUUCCCACGGACCCCGAAUCGUUUGACUCCUCGCAUCGGCGACACUCUCAAGAAUACACGGUCUCCAACCGCGAACUCUAAAUCCUUCCUUCGUUUGUCGGCAUAACUCUUUUGCCGAGAUUGCGCCAUCGCCAACCGUUGACGGGCAAGGCGGACUUUCUCUUCCGCCUCCCGCACCACAUCCGGGCCAAGAGCCGCUUUCUCGCCCACGUCGCUCCAAUGGAUAGGAGAACGACACUUACGUCCAUAUAGUGCCUCAAAAGGCGCCAUUGCUAUGCUCUCUUGGUAGCUAUUAUUGUAGGCGAACUCCGCCAUAGGCAAGAAAUCAUGCCAUCCUCCUUUGUAAUCUAGCACACACGCUCGAAGCAAAUCCUCAAGGAUUUGUAUUGUUCGCUCCGAUUGUCCAUCACUUUGGGGAUGAAACGCUGUACUGAAGUCGAGCCGUGUGCCUAGCGCGUCUUGCAAACUCUUCCAAAAAUGGGAUGUGAACCUGGGGUCGCGAUCCGACACGAUCGAUACUGGAACCCCAUGAAGUCUCACAACCUCGUCGAGAUAAACUUACGCUAGCUUGUCUCCCGACCACGUAGUAUGUAUCGGCAAGAAGUGUGCCGACUUUGUCAAUCGAUCCACUAUUACCCAUAUCGCAUCGUGUCCGCCUUGUGAUCGAGGCAAACCGGUAACAAAGUCCAUUGCUAUGUCUCCCCAUUUCCAAACGGGUACUGGUAGACUUUGUAGCUUUCCCGCCGGAAAUCGGCGCUCUGCUUUAACUUGCUGGCACGUUAAACAUUGCGCCACAAACUCCCCGAUAUCUCUUUUCAUACCCGGCCACCAAUAAUGCUCCUUCAAAUCCUUGUACAUUUUAGUGCCGCCAGGGUGUAUACUAUAGGGAGAUUGAUGCGCCUCUUGCAUGAUCGCCCUUCGCAACUCAUCAUUUUUAGGCACACACCAUCGAUUUCGAAAUCGAAGUGCGCUAUCAGCUCCAACGCCAAAAUCUUCGACUUUACCAUUCUCAACUUCACUCCGCACCUUUUGAAGAUAAGGAUCCGAAGCUUGGAGAUCCUUGAUUCUUUCCAAUAGGGUCGGUUGCACAACCAAUGCGGCAAGUGUAGCCGGCACUCCCGGCGCUACCACUUCCAACCCGAAUCGUUGCAUUUCCUUUCGUAGUAGCGGUUGAGGCGUAAUUGCCGUCGCUAAGUUCUCCGCCGAUUUUCUACUUAGAGCAUCGGCCACGACAUUGGCUUUUCCGGGGUGGUAUAAUAUGGUGACAUCAUAGUCCUUUAGCAACUCUAACCACCGCCGCUGUCGCAUGUUCAACUCUUUCUGGGUGAACAAGUACUUUAGGCUCUUGUGAUCGGUGUACACCUCACAAUGUUCACCAUACAAGUAAUGCCUCCAAAGCUUUAGCGCGAAGAUCACCGCGGCUAACUCGAGGUCGUGAAUCGGGUAGUUCUUCUCAUAACUCUUUAACUGGCGCGAUGCAUAAGCAAUGACCCGCCCGUUCUGCAUUAAUACACACCCGAGGCCAACAUAAGAGGCAUCACUAUACACUACAAAAGUCUCUCCCGGAGUCGGCAAGGCAAGCACCGGGGUCGACGUCAACCUGUUCUUUAACUCUUCGAAGCUCCGAUCGCAGUCGUCGCUCCAAACAUACUUUACUCCUUUAUGCGUGAGGCGCGUCAGUGGAGUGGUUAUCUUGGCGAACCCCUCCACGAACCGCCGAUAGUAGCCCGCCAGUCCAAGAAAACUGCGGACCUCCGCUACAUUCGUCGGGCGAGGCCAAUCCUUGAUUGCCUCCACUUUCUUCGGGUCUACCGAAACUCCGUCACCCGAUACCACAUGACCCAAGAAUGUGACCUCCUUUAGCCAAAAGUCACACUUCUUUAACUUUGCAUAGAGCUUCUCUUGUCUGAGUAUCUGCAACACCGCUCUCAGAUGCUCUUCGUGCUCCUCCUCACUUUUCGAAUAGACCAAUACGUCGUCUAUGAACACCACGACGCAUCGAUCCAACAACGGCCUAAAGACUCGAUUCAUCAAGUCCAUAAACGCUGCCGGGGCGUUAGUAAGCCCAAACGGCAUUACCGUGAACUCAUAAUGGCCAUACCGCGUACGGUACGCCGUUUUGUGCACAUCCUUUGGCCUGAUCUUUAAUUGAUGAUACCCCGACUGGAGAUCAACCUUCGAAUACACCUUGGACCCUUGCAACUGAUCGAAUAGAUCAUCAAUCCUCGGCAACGGGUACUUGUUCUUUAUCGUUACUUUGUUCAACUCGCGAUAAUCUACGCAGAGUCGAAGUGUGCCAUCCUUUUUCUUCACGAAUAGCACCGGAGCUCCCCAUGGUGACACACUCGGCCUCACGAAGCCUUUAUCGAGCAGGUCCUGUAGUUGGCCUUUUAGCUCCUUUAGUUCCACCGGUGCCAUUCUGUACGGAGCCUUCGAAACUGGUUCGCGCUAUCCCACAGUCUGCCAAUGUCGUCGGCCGCCCUACCACUUUAUCUGUCACGCCCCGCGACCGCUACCAAUUUGGUUCGGCCCGGCGCGUCGAACAGACGCCGGACGGACAGCACCUCCCCUGUCCGCCCAAGGCUAACGACAAGAUUGUGUACAACAAGUCCCCAGGAAAAUAACUUGAAUAUAUACACAAUCGAUAACUACAACGAGAGCACAAUCAGUGCAAAACAACCAAGAGCAAGAUACAAGUAUAGAACAUACAAGUAAUGAUAAAGAGAGAGCAUCUAUCUAUUACAUUCAUUCAGCCUUUAUAAUACAACUUGAUUAUACAUUGAACUUCCAAAACAUACUAUAAAGCUUACAUCUUCCAAAGAUAAACAUUAGUUUACAUUUAUCUCAAAAUACCUCACAUCCUAUACAUCAUCUACUCUCAAAGCAUAAAAGGUGACUCUAAUGCAGAAAUAGGAAAGUAGACUAAUGCAACUAGGGCGCUAAGCCCUUACCGCGAUCCUCGCCGUGUGAACUCGCGCUCGG